AAUCAACGCUGGCGGCGUGCCUCAGACAUGCAAGUCGAACGAUUAAAGCUCUCUUCGGAGAGUGUAUAGAGUGGCGCACGGGUGAGUAACACGUAAGUAAUCAACCCUCGGCACCGGGAUAGCCCGCGGAAAACGCGGAUUAAUACCGGAUGGCCCAACAGCUCUACGGGGCGUUGGAAAGGUAGCGCUUCGGCGCCUCCGGCCGGGGACGAGCUCGCGGCUGAUUAGCUGUUGGUGGGGUAACGGCCUACCAAGGCGACGAUCAGUAGCUGGUCUGAGAGGACGAUCAGCCACACUGGGACUGGAGACACGGCCCCAGACUCCUACGGGAGGCAGCAGUGGGGAAUCUUGCGCAAUGGGC
rnacentral:rRNA from 1 species